rnacentral:rRNA from 1 species
GACGAACGCUGGCGGCGUGCUUAACACAUGCAAGUCGAACGGAAAGGCCCUGCUUUUGUGGGGUGCCCGAGUGGCGAACGGGUGAGUAACACGUGAGUAACCUGCCCUUGACUUUGGGAUAACUUCAGGAAACUGGGGCUAAUACCGGAUAGGAGCUCCUGCUGCAUGGUGGGGGUUGGAAAGUUUCGGCGGUUGGGGAUGGACUCGCGGCUUAUCAGCUUGUUGGUGGGGUAGUGGCUUACCAAGGCUUUGACGGGUAGCCGGCCUGAGAGGGUGACCGGCCACAUUGGGACUGAGAUACGGCCCAGACUCCUACUGGAGGCAGCAGUGGGGAAUAUUGCACAAUGGGCGGAAGCCUGAUGCAGCAACGCCGCGUGCGGGAUGACGGCCUUCGGGUUGUAAACCGCUUUCGCCUGUGACGAAGCGUGAGUGACGGUAAUGGGUAAAGAAGCACCGGCUAACUACGUG